GGGGGCGUAGCUCAAUUGGUUAGAGCACUGGCUUGUCACGCCAGAGGUUGCGGGUUCGAGCCCCGUCGCCCUCG
rnacentral:tRNA from 1 species